AAAAAGAUAAGCUAAAUAAGCUAAAGGGUUCAUACCCCUUUUAUAAAGGUUUUAAUCCUUUUCUUUUUA
rnacentral:tRNA from 1 species